AUCUUUGUGAAGUGGCAGAAUCAUAGACCAUGAGGUUAAUCCGAGGGGUGAUUAUUGCUAGUUGAAAACUUUACCUAUACCCUGCCUUGAAGACUUGAAAUAUAUGGCAAUUGUUGAUAGAGACCAUUGAGACU